rnacentral:rRNA from 1 species
CCUACGGGAGGCAGCAGUUGCGAAACCUUCACACUGUGGGAAACCACGAUGAGGGGAUUCCAAGUGCCAACACCCAGUGUUGGCUUUUCAGCUGUUUAAAGUGCAGCUGGAAUAAGGGCCGGGAAAGACGGGUGCCAGCCGCCGCGGUAACACCCGCGGCCCGAGUGGUGGUCAUUAUUAUUGAGCUUAAAGCGUCCGUAGCCGGUCUGGUAAAUCUCUGGGUAAAUCGGGCGGCUCAACCGUUCGAAUUCCAGGGAGACUGCUAGACUUGGGGCCGGGAGAGGCCAGAGGUACUUCUAGGGUAGAAGUAAAAUUCUGUAAUCCUAGGAGGACCACCAGUGGCGAAAGCGUCUGGCUAGAACGGACCCGACGGUGAGGGACGAAGCCCUGGGGCGCGAACCGGAUUAGAUACCCUGGUAGUC